rnacentral:tRNA from 1 species
UCCCUUUUUGUCCAGUGGUUAGGAUAUUGUCUUUUCAUGUCGAAGACACGGGUUUGAUUCCCAUAAGGGGUA